UCGAAACCUGCUAGAGCAGAACAACCCGCGAACUUGUUAAAUAUUAUGAUCGGGGAGGGGUUGCCGGCCUGUCGGUCCCUCCUCUAAGCCGGGGGCAGUCCCCAGGACAGCCCCCUGGCAGAACAACAAAUCCCGGCGUGCUAUGCGCCAAGGAACAUGAACCACAGUCUGCCCGCCCUUGGCCCGGGUCCCCGGUGCGAGGGCGAGGCGGCAUAAUGAAGUCGUAGAACGACUCUCGGCAACGGAUAUCUCGGCUCUCGCAUCGAUGAAGAACGUAGUAAAAUGCGAUACUUGGUGUGAAUUGCAGAAUCCCGUGAACCAUCGAGUUUUUGAACGCAAGUUGCGCCCGAAGCCUUCGGGCCAGGGCACGUCUGCCUGGGCGUCACACACAGCGUCUCCCCCACCCACCAAGCGUGGGACGGGAGAGGAUGAUGGCCUCCCAUGCUCACCCUGCGUGGUUGGCCUAAAUAAGGAGCCCAUGCCCACUUGAUGCCGCGGCGAUUGGUGGUAUAAAAUGCACCCUACAUAGCCGUGCAUCCGGUGUUGAAUGUGGACUCGUCGGACCCUU
rnacentral:rRNA from 1 species